AGACGGCGGAAAAAUCAGUGCAAAGGCGGGCGUUAAGCUUGCUUAUAAGACCGUUUUUGCACUGAUUUUUACAUCGGAUGGAUAUCCGAUGCUUCUUGACCGGAUUUUUCGGUCAAGAAGAUGAGCCGUCU
rnacentral:sRNA from 1 species